AGAGUUUGAUCCUGGCUCAGAUUGAACGCUGGCGGAAUGCUUUACACAUGCAAGUCGAACGGCAGCACGGGGGCAACCCUGGUGGCGAGUGGCGAACGGGUGAGUAAUACAUCGGAACGUGCCCAGUCGUGGGGGAUAACGUAGCGAAAGCUACGCUAAUACCGCAUACGAUCUCUGGAUGAAAGCGGGGGACCGCAAGGCCUCGCGCGAUUGGAGCGGCCGAUGGCAGAUUAGGUAGUUGGUGGGGUAAAGGCUCACCAAGCCGACGAUCUGUAGCUGGUCUGAGAGGACGACCAGCCACACUGGGACUGAGACACGGCCCAGACUCCUACGGGAGGCAGCAGUGGGGAAUUUUGGACAAUGGGCGAAAGCCUGAUCCAGCCAUUCCGCGUGCAGGAUGAAGGCCCUCGGGUUGUAAACUGCUUUUGUACGGAACGAAACGGUCCUGGUUAAUACCCGGGGCUAAUGACGGUACCGUAAGAAUAAGCACC
rnacentral:rRNA from 1 species